UACGGAGGGUGCAAGCGUUAAUCGGAAUUACUGGGCGUAAAGCGCGUGUAGGCGGUCUUGUAAGUCGGAUGUGAAAGCCCCGGGCUCAACCUGGGAACUGCAUUCGAUACUGCUCGACUAGAGUAUGGAAGAGGGAAGCGGAAUUCCGGGUGUAGCGGUGAAGUGCGUAGAUAUCCGGAGGAACACCAGUGGCGAAGGCGGCUUCCUGGUCCAAUACUGACGCUGAGACGCGAAAGCGUGGGGAGCAAAC
rnacentral:rRNA from 1 species